rfam:Hordeum vulgare subsp. vulgare, WGS project CAJW01000000 data, contig: morex_contig_2548230
UUGUCACCUGGAGUUCUUCUCAAAUCACUUUAGUAGCUAGCUCAUACUACCCCAUUAUUGUUGCGUUGCCACUGUUUUAAAAGUGUGCAUUGAGGGGAGAUAGAAGCUCUGCAUAGUGAAGUGUUUGGGGGAACUCUGGGUGGCAA